rnacentral:rRNA from 1 species
AUGAACGCUAGCUACAGGCUUAACACAUGCAAGUCGAGGGGCAUCAGGAAGAAAGCUUGCUUUCUUUGCUGGCGACCGGCGCACGGGUGAGUAACACGUAUCCAACCUGCCCUUUACUCGGGGAUAGCCUUUCGAAAGAAAGAUUAAUACCCGAUGGCAUAAUGAUUCCGCAUGGUUUCAUUAUUAAAGGAUUCCGGUAAAGGAUGGGGAUGCGUUCCAUUAGGUUGUUGGUGAGGUAACGGCUCACCAAGCCUUCGAUGGAUAGGGGUUCUGAGAGGAAGGUCCCCCACAUUGGAACUGAGACACGGUCCAAACUCCUACGGGAGGCAGCAGUGAGGAAUAUUGGUCAAUGGGCGCUAGCCUGAACCAGCCAAGUAGCGUGAAGGAUGAAGGCUCUAUGGGUCGUAAACUUCUUUUAUAUAAGAAUAAAGUGCAGUAUGUAUACUGUUUUGUAUGUAUUAUAUGAAUAAGGAUCGGCUAACUCCGUGCCAGCAGCCGCGGUAAUACGGAGGAUCCGAGCGUUAUCCGGAUUUAUUGGGUUUAAAGGGAGCGUAGGUGGACUGGUAAGUCAGUUGUGAAAGUUUGCGGCUCAACCGUAAAAUUGCAGUUGAUACUGUCAGUCUUGAGUACAGUAGAGGUGGGCGGAAUUCGUGGUGUAGCGGUGAAAUGCUUAGAUAUCACGAAGAACUCCGAUUGCGAAGGCAGCUCACUGGACUACAACUGACACUGAUGCUCGAAAGUGUGGGUAUCAAACAGGAUUAGAUACCCUGGUAGUCAACACAGUAAACGAUGAAUACUCGCUGUUUGCGAUAUACAGUAAGCGGCCAAGCGAAAGCAUUAAGUAUUCCACCUGGGGAGUACGCCGGCAACGGUGAAACUCAAAGGAAUUGACGGGGGCCCGCACAAGCGGAGGAACAUGUGGUUUAAUUCGAUGAUACGCGAGGAACCUUACCCGGGCUUAAAUUGCAGUGGAAUGAUGUGGAAACAUGUCAGUGAGCAAUCACCGCUGUGAAGGUGCUGCAUGGUUGUCGUCAGCUCGUGCCGUGAGGUGUCGGCUUAAGUGCCAUAACGAGCGCAACCCUUAUCUUUAGUUACUAACAGGUCAUGCUGAGGACUCUAGAGAGACUGCCGUCGUAAGAUGUGAGGAAGGUGGGGAUGACGUCAAAUCAGCACGGCCCUUACGUCCGGGGCUACACACGUGUUACAAUGGGGGGUACAGAAGGCAGCUAGCGGGUGACCGUAUGCUAAUCCCAAAAUCCUCUCUCAGUUCGGAUCGAAGUCUGCAACCCGACUUCGUGAAGCUGGAUUCGCUAGUAAUCGCGCAUCAGCCACGGCGCGGUGAAUACGUUCCCGGGCCUUGUACACACCGCCCGUCAAGCCAUGGGAGCCGGGGGUACCUGAAGUACGUAACCGCAAGGAUCGUCCUAGGGUAAAACUGGUGACUGGGGCU